GACGGAGGGUGCUAGCGUUGUUCGGAAUCACUGGGCGUAAAGGGCGCGUAGGCGGCUUUGGCAGUCGGUUUGUGAAAGCCCGGGGCUCAACCCCGGAGGUGCGGCCGAAACACCAAGGCUGGAGGCCGGAAGAGGAGGGUGGAAUACCCAGUGUAGAGGUGAAAUUCGUAGAUAUUGGGUGGAACACCGGUGGCGAAAGCGGCUCUCUGGUCCGGUCCUGACGCUGAGGCGCGAAAGCGUGGGGAGCAAACAGG
rnacentral:rRNA from 1 species